AACGCACAUUGCACUCUCUGGUAUUCCGGAGAGUAUGCUUGUUUGAGUAUCUGUAAACAUCUCAAAUCUCUCUUCAAUUGUUGAGAGAAUUGGAUUUGAGCGAUCCCGACUCCUUCGUCAGAAAGAGGAGGGUCGCUUGAAAUGCAGGUGCAGCUGGACAUUCUUCUGAGCAAAAAGCAUAUCUAUUUAGUCCCGUCAAACGGAUUAUUACUUUUGCUUCAGCUAAUAUAAAGGUUGAAUGAACUACCAACGCUGAUUGCAGGAAAACAUGUUCGUUUAUUCGGACUUGUAAACUCGAUCUCAAAUCAAGUAAGACUACCCGCUGAACUUAA
rnacentral:misc_RNA from 1 species